rnacentral:rRNA from 1 species
GUCUUUUUGUAAUUUAGUAAAAGGUUUAACCUGCUCAGUGAAAAAUUUAAACAGCUGCGGUAUAUUGACCGUACAAAGGUAGCAUAAUAAUUAGUUUAUUAAUUGUAAACUGGAAUGAAAGGUUUGACGAAAAAUGAUCUGUCUUUAUAUUAAAAGUUGAAUUUUACUUUUUAGUAAAAAGGCAAAGAUGAAUUUAAGGGACGAUAAGACCCUAUAGAAUUUAUAUAAAUGUUUUUUGUUGUUUAUUGUAAUUAAUAUUAAUUAAUUAUAUUUAUAUUUUACUGGGGUAGUAUAAAGAAAUAAAAAACUCUAUAUUUAAAGGGACUAAGAUGAUAGAAUAAUUGUUAUGAUCCUGUAUUAUGGGUAAAAGAAUGAAUUACCUUAGGGAUAACAGCGUAAUUUUGUUUGAGAGUUCAAAUUGAUGAUAAAGUUUGCGACCUCGAUGUUGAAUUAAGAUUACAAUUGGGUGUAGAUGCUUAAUUUGUAGGUCUGUUCGACCUUUAAAAUCUUACA